rnacentral:rRNA from 2 species
UACCUGAAUACGUGGCCAAUACAUGGCAAGUCGAACGAACUCUGGUAUUGAUUGGUGCUUGCAUCAUGAUUUACAUUUGAGUGAGUGGCGAACUGGUGAGUAACACGUGGGAAACCUGCCCAGAAGCGGGGGAUAACACCUGGAAACAGAUGCUAAUACCGCAUAACAACUUGGACCGCAUGGUCCGAGCUUGAAAGAUGGCUUCGGCUAUCACUUUUGGAUGGUCCCGCGGCGUAUUAGCUAGAUGGUGGGGUAACGGCUCACCAUGGCAAUGAUACGUAGCCGACCUGAGAGGGUAAUCGGCCACAUUGGGACUGAGACACGGCCCAAACUCCUACGGGAGGCAGCAGUAGGGAAUCUUCCACAAUGGACGAAAGUCUGAUGGAGCAACGCCGCGUGAGUGAAGAAGGGUUUCGGCUCGUAAAACUCUGUUGUUAAAGAAGAACAUAUCUGAGAGUAACUGUUCAGGUAUUGACGGUAUUUAACCAGAAAGCCACGGCUAACUACGUGCCAGCAGCCGCGGUAAUACGUAGGUGGCAAGCGUUGUCCGGAUUUAUUGGGCGUAAAGCGAGCGCAGGCGGUUUUUUAAGUCUGAUGUGAAAGCCUUCGGCUCAACCGAAGAAGUGCAUCGGAAACUGGGAAACUUGAGUGCAGAAGAGGACAGUGGAACUCCAUGUGUAGCGGUGAAAUGCGUAGAUAUAUGGAAGAACACCAGUGGCGAAGGCGGCUGUCUGGUCUGUAACUGACGCUGAGGCUCGAAAGUAUGGGUAGCAAACAGGAUUAGAUACCCUGGUAGUCCAUACCGUAAACGAUGAAUGCUAAGUGUUGGAGGGUUUCCGCCCUUCAGUGCUGCAGCUAACGCAUUAAGCAUUCCGCCUGGGGAGUACGGCCGCAAGGCUGAAACUCAAAGGAAUUGACGGGGGCCCGCACAAGCGGUGGAGCAUGUGGUUUAAUUCGAAGCUACGCGAAGAACCUUACCAGGUCUUGACAUACUAUGCAAAUCUAAGAGAUUAGACGUUCCCUUCGGGGACAUGGAUACAGGUGGUGCAUGGUUGUCGUCAGCUCGUGUCGUGAGAUGUUGGGUUAAGUCCCGCAACGAGCGCAACCCUUAUUAUCAGUUGCCAGCAUUAAGUUGGGCACUCUGGUGAGACUGCCGGUGACAAACCGGAGGAAGGUGGGGAUGACGUCAAAUCAUCAUGCCCCUUAUGACCUGGGCUACACACGUGCUACAAUGGAUGGUACAACGAGUUGCGAACUCGCGAGAGUAAGCUAAUCUCUUAAAGCCAUUCUCAGUUCGGAUUGUAGGCUGCAACUCGCCUACAUGAAGUCGGAAUCGCUAGUAAUCGCGGAUCAGCAUGCCGCGGUGAAUACGUUCCCGGGCCUUGUACACACCGCCCGUCACACCAUGAGAGUUUGUAACACCCAAAGUCGGUGGGGUAACCUUUUAGGAAACCACGCCCGCCCUAAAAGGU